rnacentral:rRNA from 1 species
ACGGCUACCUUGUUACGACUUAGCCCCAGUCACCGGUUUUGCUCUAGGGCGCGCCUCGCGGCGACGCACUUCAAGCACCCCCGGCUCCCAUGGCUUGACGGGCGGUGUGUACAAGGCCCGGGAACGUAUUCACCGCGCCAUGGCUGAUGCGCGAUUACUAGCGAAUCCAGCUUCACGGAGUCGGGUUGCAGACUCCGAUCCGAACUGAGACCGGUUUUCGGGUUCCGCUCGGCGUCGCCGCCUGGCUUCCCGCUGUACCGGCCAUUGUAACACGUGUGUCGCCCCGGACGUAAGGGCCGUGCUGAUUUGACGUCAUCCCCGCCUUCCUCGCGGCUUGCGCCGGCAGUCCCGACAGAGUCCUCGGCUUCACCCGUUAGCAACUGUCGGCAGGGGUUGCGCUCGUUAUGGCACUUAAGCCGACACCUCACGGCACGAGCUGACGACAACCAUGCAGCACCUCGGAAGACGUCCGUGGAAGAGGGCGUCUCCGCCCCUGUCGUCUCCCGUUUGAGCCCGGGUAAGGUUCCUCGCGUAUCAUCGAAUUAAACCACAUGUUCCUCCGCUUGUGCGGGCCC